rnacentral:rRNA from 1 species
GACAGAGGGUGCGAGCGUUAAUCGGAAUUACUGGGCGUAAAGGGUGCGUAGGCGGACCUUUAAGUCAGAUGUGAAAUCCCCGGGCUCAACCUGGGAACUGCAUUUGAUACUGAGGGUCUAGAGUAUGGCAGAGGAAAGUGGAAUUUCCGGUGUAGCGGUGAAAUGCGUAGAUAUCGGAAGGAACAUCAGUGGCGAAGGCGACUUUCUGGGCUAAUACUGACGUUGAGGCACGAAAGCGUGGGUAGCAAACAGG